rnacentral:lncRNA from 1 species
UCCCAUCGUGAUCGUGUGCUGUCUGCUGAGGACUGAGGUCUUAAAUUUUUCUAUUUGUUCAACUAAUUACGUUGAAUACGUAAUUUGCUUUGGCUUUGGCUUGGUGUUAACUUGUUUUUGACUCUUGAAUGCCUUGUGAUGCAUCUCGGUUUAAUUGAUUUGAAAAUGUGAUCUGAAAAUAACUUUAGCUAGCAGCACACAAGAAGGGGAGGUUAGAUGGAACACGUGAAUGAUUUGAAGUUUAGUGUUCCAUUAGAAGCAGGGGACAAUUUGAAUCUACCCACGUGAUUUCCAGCCCACAAGUCCGCCACACCUUGGCGGACUUGUUUAUCAUCAAAAUGUAUUCCUGGCGACUAGCGGAAAACGGAUGUAUGUGGUUUAGCAACAUGCAUGAAAAUAUUUGGUAUAUGACAAGAGAAAAACUUGAUGCGAAGGAAAAAGGUUGUUUAGCUGCUCUUCUGAAGACAGUUGAAGGAAUUGUGUGAAGAAGAUUGCGAUGUUGGCCACCUUUUAUACCUGGCAGUUGCGGCUGAGUGAAAGUGAUCGGCAAAGACCUUCCACAGUUUUCCGGCGUCAAUUUAGGAACAGCAAAUCUGGAGACUAUGGCCCAGAUGCGGUCAUUUUGCGAGAUUCGACAGAGACCAUCAACGGGACUCCGGUUUGCCGAUUAUGAAUUUCAAAUACCUGGCUAAAUAUAUCCACCAUAAUAGUGAGUCGUCUCAUCCAUGGCGAAUUGAACGACAUUUAAUCUGGCAAGUUCAGUAAUGAGAUGCCCAGGCAGCAAGUGACUAUUCAAAUGCUUCAGAGGUGGAGGUAUUUAAACAUCCCAAUCAACAAUAACAAAAGUGACCUAGAGCUAUUUUUUCCUCUUUUGCCAUCAACUGCAUCCUCUUUAAACCAAAUGAGCGAAACCACUGAAUAAGAAACUUAUUCUUCAACCAAAAAAUCUGUGACAAUGUUAUCGUAAAUUUCCGUGACACGCACUCCAUGCAGAUAUUAUUUCCCGCUCGCUCAAUUCACACAGUAGCGCUUAACGUAUGGAAAUAAAAGCUGCCACAAAUGUUGCAGAAAGAAAAUUGAAGACAACAAUGUGGAGUCUACAAUCUACAUGUUGCUUAAUGCUUACAUGUAAAUGUCGGGUCUUAAAAAACCUCUUGUCACCAGAUGGCGAUAAAUAAAGGAGCCGCCAGGCGUCGUAGGCCGAACGUCGAGCGUGAUGAAGCCGCCAUCAGCUGAUCAGCCCACAGUUGUACGUGACGUGACGUUGAACUUGAGCAAACUAGUGAGAUACAGUCUACGUUAUGUCACUGUCAGCCAGGUUAAGUUGAAGCUGUUUGCUGUUCCCGUUCAAUGCAGAACAUUUUGACGUGCCACCUUGCUACCAGCUAACUGCACAAAUUUUCCAUCUUUUGGAUAUGACAUCAUUUGCUUAUGGUGUUGCAAUCCAAUGUGCUGAUGCUGUUUCCUGCCUGUUACCUGGUUUAAGGAUUUCUUGAACAAAAGAGUUCAAUUGGCGAAACUGUUUCAAGAAAUCAAGUUCAGCCAUCAGCACAUGGUCACAUUUAUCUAGUAAUUGAAGGCACUUGCUACCAUAAAUCCUCGCAAACUUUAAUUCUUUAAUAACAUUUUUUUUUCAGGUUACUCAGCCAGGCUAAGUUGAAGUUGUUUGCUGUUGCUGCUAAUGCAGACGAACAUUUUGUCUUGCUAACUGGGUUUUCAACUGUUGGUUGAUGCCUGAGCUAUGCAUAAAAUUGCUUAUGGACUUAUGGUGUUGCAGUCCAAUGUGCUGAUGGUGUUUCCUACAAGUCACCUGGUUUAAGGAGUACUGGAACAAACAAACAAGCGUCGAUGAUUGUUUUCUAUUUUUGUUUAUUUUCUCAAUUUGUGUGAUCUGUCAUUUUGCAAUUUUUUCGCAAUAUUUUCUAAGUGUUGCUUGGAAUCGGAAAAGGUUGUCACGUGCUGACUUCAAAUAAGCUCAUAUGAAGCAUUUUUGAGUACGUAGAAAGUUGUAGAACAUUGUGAGGAAAUUUAUCGAUAAGCUUUAAAUCAAUUUGAGAAACUAA